rnacentral:lncRNA from 1 species
UGUAACCGGAGAGCACGAAUUUCAUUACAAAAUUGCUUGUCUCCACCGGGACUCGAACCCGGUACCUCUGUGUUACAAGGCAGCGCGUAUACCGACUGAGCUAAAGAAGUACUUCCUUAGCUCAACCGCUUACGGCUGACUAAGUAGCUACCAAAUGUUCUAAGGGAAGCAAUCCCGUCACACUUCCCCCACCUCAAGAGUCAUCAUACCAUUAUGAAUCUCAUGCAAACAUACCCUAGCUAGAAUUCCUCUCUAACUACCUGGGUUUUUUUAGUUGGGCGCCAAUGUAACCGGAGAGCACGAAUUUCAUUACAAAAUUGCUUGUCUCCACCGGGACUAGAACCCAGUACCUCUGUGUACAAGGCAGCGCG